UCCAAAUACAUCGACCUCCGUCACUCCUUCUCCAUCACUCAUUCCUGUCUUGUCAUCUAUUGGAUCGGUGUGUGCUGUGGUUCUGCUGGUAUUAGUGGUUCUGGUGGUGAAACAAUGGGUAUGUGGAAAAUCCAAAGCUGACCGGGCAGAAGUUAGAGAAGAUGACAUCACAGAUGGUGUCACAUACAGCGAAAUCACAAUCUCAAAUUGUCAACAGCAGCCAGUCAGACAGAGCCCAGAGAGCGACCCAGCUGCAGUCUACUCUACAGUGAGGAGGGACGACGUCACAUAUGGACAAAUCAUCAUCAAAGACAAGAAAAAAAAAUCCAAGAUAAGAG